rnacentral:rRNA from 1 species
CCUACGGGGGACAGCAGUGAGGAAUAUUGGUCAAUGGGCGCGAGCCUGAACCAGCCAAGUCGCGUGAGGGAAGACGGUCCUAUGGAUUGUAAACCUCUUUUGUCGGGGAGCAAAAGACGCCACGCGUGGCUUUCCGAGAGUACCCGAAGAAAAAGCAUCGGCUAACGCCGUGCCAGCAGCCGCGGUAAUACGGGGGAUGCGAGCGUUAUCCGGAUUUAUUGGGUUAAAGGGUUGCGCAGGCGGAGGAUCAAGUCAGCGGUAAAAUUGAGAGGCUCAACCUCUUCGAGCCGUUGAAACUGGUUUUCUUGAGUGAGCGAGAGGUAUGCGGAAUGCGUGGUGUAGCGGUGAAAUGCAUAGAUAUCACGCAGAACUCCGAUUGCGAAGGCAGCAUACCGGCGCUCAACUGACGCUCAUGCACGAAAGUGUGGGUAUCGAACAGGAUUAGAUACCCGAGUAGUC